UGUAAUCCAAAAAAGAAACUUUACAUAUUCCAGAACAUUAAUUUCCUUCAUUUUAAAUUUUCUCCGGAAAAAAAAACUCUAUUUAUAACGCAUUGUAAUUGAAAAAUAAACUGAAAGGUCACGGGAAAAAAAAUUCUAUUCAUAAUUUAAAAAUUCAAAUCCACGUCGGUUAUAUUAAACCUAACGACGUUAAAUGAAAAGAUUCCACGUCGCAAAACAAAUAUUGCGUUGUGUUAGUUAAAAACGACGGCAUAACAAAAAAC
rnacentral:lncRNA from 1 species